AGGAAGAAGGAUAGUUUGAGGAUUUACAAUGAGAGUAAUAAGGCGAGCUUGCAGUGUGUGGGUGAAGAGAGUAACAGUAAUGGAAACAGCGAUAGUAAUGGGAGUAGUGGAAGUUUCAACCCUGGCAGUUGUAUGGUUGUUCAGGAUGUGUGGUGUGGCCCUGGAAUUGGCUUUUCUGCUGAUGCUGUUGUUGGGUCAGUGGAUUGUGCUGUGGGGAGGAGAAAUGCGUCUGGGAGAGGGAAGAUUGAUGGGGACAAC
rnacentral:misc_RNA from 1 species